CCUACGGGCGGCAGCAGUGGGGAAUAUUGGACAAUGGGCGAAAGCCUGAUCCAGCCAUGCCGCAUGUGUGAAGAAGGCCUUCGGGUUGUAAAGCACUUUCAGUGGGGAAGAAAGCCUUGGGGCUAAUACCCUCGAGGAAGGACAUCACCCACAGAAGAAGCACCGGCUAACUCCGUGCCAGCAGCCGCGGUAAUACGGAGGGUGCGAGCGUUAAUCGGAAUUACUGGGCGUAAAGCGCGCGUAGGCGGUCUGAUAAGCCGGUUGUGAAAGCCCCGGGCUCAACCUGGGAACGGCAUCCGGAACUGUCAGGCUAGAGUGCAGGAGAGGAAGGUAGAAUUCCCGGUGUAGCGGUGAAAUGCGUAGAGAUCGGGAGGAAUACCAGUGGCGAAGGCGGCCUUCUGGACUGACACUGACGCUGAGGUGCGAAAGCGUGGGUAGCAAACAGGAUUAGAUACCCGAGUAGUC
rnacentral:rRNA from 1 species